rnacentral:rRNA from 1 species
ACCACAGCCAUAUCACCCUGCAGCCCAAGACUGGUUGCCCACUGAAGCUAAGCAUGGUUGAGCCUGAUCAGUACCUGGAUGAGAGACCUCCUGGGGAAAACUAGGUUGCUGCUGGAA